GAAGGCAAUUCACCUGUGUGACCAGAAAGGGUGGAAUCUAGACCCCAUUUAAGGGCUGACUGCCACUGGGGAAGGAUCUCUUUCUGGAGAUCCCUCCUUUGUGAGCUUUUCAUCCUGAGCAUAGAUCUUUGGAUAUGAGUGGUUGUGUAUGGAGCCAGAAGUAGGACUCGAUGAUCCCUGUGGGUCUCUUGUGGGAUAUUCUGUGAUUCUACAAUUCUAAUAUGAGAGUUCUGUGUUUAACAAGCUGAGAGCUGAUGAUGUCUUUUGAAGUCAAUGGCUGUCUCCUGAUUGUAAACUGUCUAAAACAGCAGAGGCUGGAACUGAGGUAGUUAUAUCCAAAUGAGUUCUUAACUGAAUUAGGUUUUGAUAGCAGCUUAUCAAUAGCUGACAGCUGGGUAUUGAUAGAAAAAGAAGAGAGUGAAGACAAUUUCUCAUUUGCCAUCUGCUAGGUGACAGCACAGACAUCUAAUUCAUUUCUAUAUGAGGAACCAUUAGUGCCAUGCACACAUUUCUGCAAGGACCCAAUGGUCAUUCCUAGCAUGUCACUUGCUAGCAGUACCUUCCUGUCAAAAGCAACAGAAUUGGCCCAAAUUCUUGGUUUAUAUUUAGCUAAGUUUAGCAAGAAGAUGAAGAGUCAACACUUGUCACAAAAUACACUUGUGUCCAAGAUAGCUACUGCAUGCAACUAUUGUGCACUUGAGUGUGUUAACCAUCUCCAGACAGUGAUCAGACAAAACAUUCAGCACAGAUCACACGAUCCAGUUAUACCACUUGUGCAGAAGCAGUGAUACGCAGAAGUGAGUAAAAGUUCAGCAACUGGAACUUCAGUUGUUUCUCUGACAUCUCAAGGGAUUUACUGAAGGGCAAAUGUAUUUCUUAUACCAAACAGCCAAUGUUCGUAAAGCAGACUCCAGCACCAAUUGCCAAGCUCCCUCUUUGAAAUGGAGACAGAAAGAGAGCUCAUAUUAUAUUUCUACCUUUGUGCACUGUCUACAGGUACCAGGCUACCAGUUUCCUAAGACAGGUGCUUGAGUUUAGGUCUAAAUCUAGAAGGAAAAAAUCUGGGCACCAUCUGCCACGUGAAGAUGCAAAGAACAGAUAACUUGCUCUUCUUUCUGCUGUAGCAGCAGAGCAGAAUAAAUGUAUGGACCUGUAACAGGGAAUCACAGAAUCAUCUAAAUAAGAGAAGACCUUCAAGACCAUGAAGUCCAACCAUCAACCUGACCUACUGAAUCUCAUCACUAAACCAAGUGCCAGACAUUAGUGAAGAAGAUGGAAAGGGAACAACAACGGAUCCAAAGAUUUCACCUCUGUCAUAACUACUGUGGGGAAAAAUCUGCAGCUGCAAGAAAAUAAUCCACAGAAAUUAAAUUUAUAUAUUUUGUAACCAUUCCUAGAGCAUCUUAAAUAAGUUUGUCAGUGAAGAGGAUAAUUAAUGAAGGUUAGGUGGUUAUUGUUGGAAAUUACAACCACACCUGAAUGGAACUUACUGUGAGAUCUGCAGCAACAUGGAACUCACUUUAUAUCUGAUUUUGUAAUACGCUGAGAUUCAAAUCCUGGGUCUAACUGCUGGUUAAUACAGAUACACUUUCUAUGGAGUAAAUGGACCCCUGGCAACUCAUCUCUGCUAAUGAUUGGAUGAAUAUUCAUUGAAAGAUUCUAUGAGCCUACAGAUCUUUCUCAAUGAAUGUGCACCUUGACCAUAACAAAGUCUGACAGAUCUAUAGUUCUGCAGGAAUCCCAAUGAGUAUUUAUCCUUUUCAAUGUGGAAUCAAAGUAGAAGCAAGGAAAAAGGGAAACCAUGUGAUCUGAAAGUAAAAAUCCCUGUAUAAUCAUGUAAGAAUAUGAAUCAUAACCUCAAAGCAGAACACUAUAAAGUUUUAGGAAGUUCAUGGAUCUACAACUUCAGCAGAACUUGGCACACCUGAAUGUCAGUACCUCAUGUCCAGCACCCCAAGCCAGGGCUUUGCACUAUUGGACUCCUACAACACCAAUGAUUUUUGAGUUUAUUGACUAAUCCAUUUAUUUUUUGCAAAAUUUCCCCACAGUCUUAUCCACUAUCCACAGCAAUAGGCUGCUGGGAAGUUGUCAAAUAUCAUGACGUGACUUUUGCUGGAUGGUAACUCCACAGAGGGGCUCUUCUUUUCUCUGUCCCUCCCCAGUUCACUCCAGUGUGAAGAUGAAGGAGGCCCAGAUCCAAACCUUAAAGCUUAUUACAUAAAUAAAAAGCACAACGCAAUACCUCAUCGAAAUAAAUUAUCUUUUCAUAUAAAAAUCUUCUAAAGCCCAUUUCUGGAAGAAUAAUAGAGCUGCCAGUCCAACACCUGCAGGGUUGGAAAUAAUUUACUCAGCCUCGCUGACUUUUAGGCAGGUUCUUCACUUGACGAAUGGCCCAAUUAAACAUCU